rnacentral:rRNA from 1 species
UACGAAGGGGGCUAGCGUUGUUCGGAAUUAGCUGGGCGUAAAGCGCACGUAGGCGGAUAACUUAAGGUCAGGGGUGAAACUCCCGGGGCUCAACCCCGGAACUGCCUUUGGAUACUGGGUAUCUCGAGUCCGGAAGAGGUGAGUGGAAUCCCGGUGUAGCGGUGAAAUGCGCAGAUAUCGGGAGGAACACCAGUGGCGAAGGCGGCUCACUGGCCCGGUACUGACGCUGAGGUGGCGAAAGCGGUGGGAGCAAACAGG